UACGUUUUAGUAUAUGAUGUACUUAAAUUUUUGAUAUUUAAAGAAGUAGUUUAAAUCUACUAAACGUAA
rnacentral:tRNA from 1 species